rfam:Anopheles maculatus strain maculatus3 cont1.21953, whole genome shotgun sequence.
UGCUGGCAAAAUCCGAUCCCUGCCUCCACGUGGCGCUGCCGGAUGUCGGUCUUCAAGAGCCUUGUCCACUCAGUCAAGACCUAACCAAAGGGACGG